rnacentral:lncRNA from 1 species
GUAAUAAAUCAGAGAUUUAGAACAUAUGGUAGAUGAUAAAGCUUUUCAACCAUAGUUGCAGCGGAAUGAGCAAUCCAUUAGAAGAGUCAAAUAGACUAUAAAGUCUAUUAUCUUCUCCAUGUUAAAAGUCCACCAACAAUGUUUUAUCCCUGUAACAUCAAUCAAUAAUUCCUGUCCACAAUCACAUGUAUAACUCAUAAUCGUAAUUGUUGUUCCAAAUUCCUUUUCUCAUCCAGGACAAAGAUAAUUUUCAUCACCUGAAACAUCAAAGAUCAUGGUUAUACCAAAUCACAGUUCAUGUUCAUAAUCAUACUAAUAAAUUCAUCUUUGCACUAC